rnacentral:rRNA from 1 species
AUUGAACGCUGGCGGCAGGCCUAGCACAUGCAAGUCGAACGGUAGCACAGAGAGCUUGCUCUCGGGUGACGAGUGGCGGACGGGUGAGUAAUGUCUGGGAAACUGCCUGAUGGAGGGGGAUAACUACUGGAAACGGUAGCUAAUACCGCAUAACGUCGCAAGACCAAAGAGGGGGACCUUCGGGCCUCUUGCCAUCAGAUGUGCCCAGAUGGGAUUAGCUUGUAGGCGGGGUAAUGGCCCACCUAGGCGACGAUCCCUAGCUGGUCUGAGAGGAUGACCAGCCACACUGGAACUGAGACACGGUCCAGACUCCUACGGGAGGCAGCAGUGGGGAAUAUUGCACAAUGGGCGCAAGCCUGAUGCAGCCAUGCCGCGUGUGUGAAGAAGGCCUUCGGGUUGUAAAGCACUUUCAGCGGGGAGGAAGGCGGUACGGUUAAUAACCGUGCUGAUUGACGUUACCCGCAGAAGAAGCACCGGCUAACUCCGUGCCAGCAGCCGCGGUAAUACGGAGGGUGCAAGCGUUAAUCGGAAUUACUGGGCGUAAAGCGCACGCAGGCGGUCUGUCAAGUCGGAUGUGAAAUCCCCGGGCUCAACCUGGGAACUGCAUUCGAAACUGGCAGGCUGGAGUCUCGUAGAGGGAGGUAGAAUUCCAGGUGUAGCGGUGAAAUGCGUAGAGAUCUGGAGGAAUACCGGUGGCGAAGGCGGCCUCCUGGACGAAGACUGACGCUCAGGUGCGAAAGCGUGGGGAGCAAACAGG